rnacentral:rRNA from 1 species
GCUUACGGCCACACCGCCUGGUAUACGCUUGAUCUCGGAAGAUAAGGUAGGUUGGGCCUGGUUAGUACUUGGAUGGGGGAGACCGCCUGGGAAUACCAGGUGCUGUAAGCU